AAAUCACCCUCAGUGGACUGUGAAGAGAGAGACAUUUCCUAAAAGCCAGAUACCCAUCAAAACUCGUAACUGUCUAUGGAAGAUACAUUAAAAUGCAAAGAAUUAGCUACUGAAAGAAUGGCUGCCAUAGACAGACACACACAAAACCUCUUGGAAAUACACAAGGGGUGAAGUAAGGUUUCAAGAUAAGGCUGCCAGCCACUAGAGAGAGAUUGCGAGUGACACAGGCAUUGUCAAGAAAGUCUUCAGCAGAGGAAACAAGCUGAGGGUUGUUCCCUCUCCCUCUUUCUCUUUUGGAAUAAGUGUGUCACCUGGUUCAAGAAGCUCACUCUGUCAGAAACCCAGAAACCUACCAAGGAAUUGAGAUCUUAUAUAAUUGCAAAUCUUCUACAUCUGACCACAUCUGAGAAACCAGUCUAGAAAUGGUACCAUUUGAAAGAAGGAAGAGCUGGCACUUCACUAUGUAUCCUGAUCAAAAUUCCUUCCAGUUCCACCAACAAAAACAGAUGUCAAAGUCAAUUACAUGACAGAUGCAAAGUUUGUAAUUUAACGUCGCUAAUAGGAAGGAAAACCGAUACCCGAAUGAUCACUGCCUGGCCGGACAGCGAAGGAACCCACAAGAGAGUGAAGACGACAACACAGCACAGUCACAAUUUCACAUUCUGAGGCACCAGCUCAGAUACUGACACUGAAUUUGAGAAUAUAUUGGAAGUGGAAUCAGACUUGUGAGAAAUUGGGCAUAAGUGGGCUGCAGCCAGGGAUGGGGCAAGGACAAAGCAGUUGCCAGUGUGCUGGAGGGUGAGGCUGCAUGUAGAUUUUGUGCAGAGGACUGAGAUGAGGACAUCGAUGGGCCAGCCUACAGAAGAAUGUUGAUUGAAAUGCACGACAAAAUGUGUGGUGCAUUAGGAAACCUGAAGAAAAUCCAGUGUCAAGGAGCAUGGAGGAAAUCACCACCGACCUUACAGAAAAUGGAGCACAUUCUUUCCAGCAUACAAGUAGUACCAACUCAGUUUCCAAUGUGUGGACCCAACCAUGAUGCAGUCUCUGAUGGCCGAAUUCACAACUUCCACUGCAGGACAGGCAGCAGCCACCUUAUAUUCAAGUGCUGCAGUGGAAGCUCAUACUGACAUAGGUUAAUUUGCUGCUAUGCAAGUUCAGACAGCUGGCAUCAA